GGAGCUUUGCUGAAACUGCACAAAAAAUCGAGCCGGGGGGUUCCCUGGUCCCCGGCGAUGGGGCGGGGAGCGCUGCGCCGGGGGAGGGGGCGGGCGCGGCGGCGCGGGCCCCGCCGAGGGGGGACACCUGGCUGAGGCACAGCUGCCGCCGUGCCUUUCCGCGCGAGCCCAGAGCUCCGAUCCCUGCGCGGGCUCGAGAGCUCGCCCCGAACGGGGGUCUUCCUCCUCCGCCGUUGACAGGUUUUGACCUGUAGCAGAGAACCAAUUCUGGAGAACAGCCUCACUUCUUUGAUUGAAUACUUACAUAAUGCAUUGGAACAUGACAUGAGAUUAAGGUUUAAUAAUGAUAGAAUGAAGACCACAAUAAAAGAGACCUCUACUUAGCUCAGCAAUUCUUACCUUGUGUAAAUUUUGAUACCACCAUUGCCGCCUUCCCCUCAAAAAAGGUGAGAACUGACUAAACUACUGGUACUUAGACCAUGUGGAGAAGGAACUGAAAAUGGAAACAGAAACACGUCUGUACAGAGCAGAGUGUCAGAUAAUAGCUCAUUUUAGUAGAGGGCAAUAAAUGCCACAUGAGAUGAUCACCUCAGCAGAAAACUGGGAUGUGGAGACGCUGGUAGCGGGGCCAGGAAGGCUCCGGACGGAGCAGGUUUUCUGGACCACAGACACACUGCCCCGGCGCCCUCCGCAGGCCGCUCCUCCCCAGGCCCAUGACAGUGCCCCGCUGGUUUCUGCCGCGCUGCCGGACUGGAGCUCAGACGGCCUUCGCCAGCCCCCCCAACCCACGCAGAUCCCUGCUGACCUGGGCAACUCCCCACCCUCGCUGAAGGUUCGAGGACCACCCCGCUUUCCCGAGAGGAGCCGGGCGGCGGGUACUUAUCUCCGACCUCCGGCUAGUGGGAAAGGCCGCGCGACCGCCCGUCCUCCAACUACAGGGACCGCACGAACAGCGACUGGGAAACUGCCACUAGAAAAAGAUGACUGUCCAACUAAAACCUGCAUACACAGCUACAUCCUUCCCUGGAAGAGCACAGUGGAACUAGAUCCUAGUACAGAUAGCACAGGGAUUGUCAACAUUCUUGUCACACUGAAAUUUCCUUCUACUGAUCUCCAAACUUCUAAAAAUUUGCUGUUGAGACCAGCUGAAAUGAAACAGAUGCCCUGCCCAGAAGCAACACGGCUAAUGGGUGCCACCGUGGAGACCCAGGCAACCUGAGAGUAGUCCUGACAGCCAGACCUCCAGGGUGGAAAUGGGAAGGUCUACAGAGAAAGUGGGAGACAUGAAACUAAACAGGAAUGAUACAUUGACAAUAAAGAACAUGAAGAGAUGGUUCCUGGACACUACAAGAAACCUGUGGUCCCAGCUACUCGAAGACUGAAGUGAGAGGAUCACUUGAGCCCAGAAGGUCGAUGCUACAGUGAGCCAUGAUCAUGCCACUAUACUCCAGCCUAGGUGACAGAGCGAGACUCCAUCUCAGAAAAAAAAAAAAAAAAAAAAGGAAAGGAAAGAAGGAAGGAAGGGAAGGAAAGGAAGGGAAGGAAGGGAAGGAGGGAAGGAGAGAGGGAAGGAGGGAGGGAAGGAGGGAGGGACUGGAAGAGGAGAAGGAGGAGAAGGAGAGGGAGAAGGAGAGGAAAGAAGAAAGAAGAAGAAAGAGGAAGGAAGGAGGAGGAGGGAAGAGGAGGAGAAGGAAGAAGGAGAAGAAAUGAGACAAAGGAGAAGAAAGGAGAAGAAAAAGGAAGAAGAGGAAGAGGAAGAAGAGGAAGCAGAAGCAGCAGCAGCAGCAAGAAGCAGCAGCACCAGCAGAAGCAGAUGCAGAAGCAACAGCAGCAGAAGCAGCAGCUGAAGAAGCAGCAGCAAGAAAGGAGGAGGAGGAGGAAGGGGAGGAGGGGGAGGGGAAUGGGGAGGAGGAGGAGGAGAAGGCAGCGGCGGCAGCAAGAGGGGACUGGUCCCAGCAGGGUAGGAAUCUUUAGAUGGUUAUUAAGAAAUGGAAUGAAUAAAAUGGAAAUUGAUGCGGUUGGCUGCACAUGGUGGCUCACACCUGUAAUCCCAGCAAUUUGGGAGGCUGAGGUAGGAGGAUCGUUUGAGCCUAGGAGUUCAAGACUAGCCUGGCCAACAUAUUGAGACCCCCAUCUGUAAAAAAUAACAACAAUAAAAAGGAAAUUGAUGGAGUUAAAACAAAGGUCUUAACGUAACACUACCCUGAAGGUUGGGUGAACCAAAGGGAGCCCCUUUUGGUCCUCCAACAUUAAAGGGCCCCAAACCAGUUUGCUGUAUUUCUCCCAGUUUGGAGAAAUUUAAAAAGCUAAAAGGCAGCAGUUACAAUGAAAAAUCUGAUCUGAAUUUGCCUGGGGCAAUAGUCGAGCAGACUAACCAAGAUAAAGAUUAACAAGAGGGCCAGGGUCCUUUGGGUCACCCCUUGGCUGGGUACCCAAAGACUUUUACACAAGAGAGGGUAAAUGGUCUAGGGGUGGAGAAGAAAAGUUCCUGAAACUAAAACAGAAAAAUGUAGGGGUCGAUAGGACUAUGAAAGUUGGUAUAUUUGAACACUUCAUGUGAAGUAGUUGCAUUUUUUAUCUGAUUUUAUCAUGGGAAUGAACAUUGUAUCUGUGUGGGGGACUGUUUUCCCUACCUGGUACUGUAAAAGAGAAGGCAUGUAAAUCGUCCCUUCAAGCAAUAUUAUUUGGACAUGCUAAGCUGGAACCAGGGAGACUGCCCAGGCCCACACAGUGCAGAGUAGAAGCUACGGUGCUGGUAGGGACAAAUUCUCCACUUGAUAACCCUCUAUGGAGCAUUUCCUGGAGCUUAUGGCAAAAGCCUGUGGGCACCUCCCAGCAACAACCACUGGGACUUUGGACUAGAGAAUUUCCACUUGAAGGGCAUUUACUGACUCGCAAUGAAACAUUUACUGAAGCCACCCCACUGAUACCUGAAAUAGGCAUGCUGUCUCAGAUGAUGUCAGAGGAACAUUCUAAUGGGGAUGGCAGUGCCCAGAAGAGUUCCAUGACACAAUGGAAAUGGUUUAUAGAGGAUCAUGCUACUCAAGGCAUGCAGAGAAUUUCUUUUCCCCUAGGACUGACUCUGGAACUGUGUGAGAAACUGCUGGAUUCUACAGUGCCAAAUAAACAACUUUCAACUGACCAAACAAGAGCUUCUUGGUUUAUGGAUGGCAAUUCCAAGGCACAAAAUGCUAGGAAGAACUGUUCUGUUUCUCAGUAAGAGAGACAGAAACUGGCUAUGGGAAAGAUUUCCUGGUGGGAAGGCCCUGAACAUAGCUGGCAAGUGAGACUGAUGCUGGCAGCCCUGGGGGACUACAAAUGGAAUAGGAAUUCUUGAUAGGAAUAGACACUGACUCUAGUGCAGGCUUUGCUUAUCCAAUGGAAGAUGAAAGUGUUCAGAGUGCCAUAAAAAAAAAAUUAAAAAAAAUAAACAACAGAAGAUAUUUCAAGGAUUUGGAUGGCUGACCAUCAUUUCUUCUUCAGACAAAGGAACACACUGUACAGCCCAUAAUGCCCAACAAUGGGCAGAGAGAUAUCCUCCUUAGAGUAAUAGUUUGAUAGAUAAGUAGAAUGGGCAAUUAAAAUAUUGGUUGUCUAAAACCAGGGAAGAUAAAAGCAUGAAAGCCUGGCUUAUACUCAACGUGGUUGAAACUAGAGUGCUCCUGUUAGAUUUUUUCUCUGUUUUUCUGGUUGAUCUGGGAAAAGGGAGUGGGGAGAAUGCUGAGAUGACUACGCAGGUCUCACCAAGAAAGGAGUACACUGGUAAAAUGACAAUACAUUUUUCUUUCUUCUCAAAAUCACCUCAAAAAAUUUUUUCUCGGCCGGGCACAGUGGCUCAGCCUGUAAUCCCCGCACUUCAGGAAGCCGAGGCAGGCAGAUCAUGAGGUCAGGAGAUCGAGACCAUCCCAGCUAACCUGGUGAAACCCCGUCUCUACUAAAAAUACAAAAAAUUAGCCGGGCGUGGUAGCGGGCGCCUGUAGUCCCAGCCACUCGGGAGGCUGAGGCAGGAGAAUGGCGUGAACCGAGGAGGCAGAGCUUGCAGUGAGCCGAGAUGAUGCCACUGCACUCCAGCCUGGGCGACAGAGUGAGACACUGUCUCAAAAAGAAAAAAAAAAAUUUUUUUUUCUCUCCCCUACCUGAUGCGGUGGUCCCAAGACCACAGCUGCAACUACAAGUGCUAGAACAGCAAGGAUCUUAAGACCUUCUCAUGAGAGAGUACCACCCUAUACCCUGGGGGAAGGAAUGCUGAUGUCAUGAAGCUUCCAUUACAACCCAAGAGGACAAGGUUCAGUGAGUUUCUGGAUAGCUGGAGGUUUCUGGAGGGUGGUGCAUCCAGGGAGGUGCAUCCAUAGAAGCUCCGCACCCCUUCCCGCAUACCUUGCCCUACCUAUCUCUUCAUGUGUAUUUUUUGUAAUAUCCUUUAUAAUAAACCCGUAAAUGUAAAAACAAAACAAAAAACAACACAGUUUUCUCAUAUUAUAGUUCUAGAGUUUAGAAGUCUAAGGUGGGUCUGAGAGGCUGUGUCAAAGGCAUUUGAACCAGAGCAACUCCGUCUUGAAUAGGGGCUGGGUAAAUGAGGCUGAAACCUACUGGACUACAUUUCCAGACAGGCAUUCUAAGUCACAGGAUGAGAUAGAAGGUCGGCACAAGAUACAGGUCAUAAAGGCCUUGCUGAUAAAACAGGUUGCAGUAAAGAAGCCAGCUAAAACCUACCAACACCAAGGUGGCAACAAGAGUGACCUUUGGUCGUCCUCACUGCUACACUCCCACCAGUGCCAUGACAGUUUACAAAUGCCAUGGCAACAUCCGGAAGUUAUCCUAUAUGGUCUAAAAAGGGGAGGCAUGAAUAAUCCACCCCUUGUUUAACAUAUAAUCAAGAAAUAACUAUAAAAAUGGGCAGCCAGCAGCCCUCAGGGCUGCAGUCUAAGGGGUAGCCAUUCUUUAUUCCUUUACUUUCUUUUUGAGAUGGAGUCUCACUCUGUCGACCAGGCUGGAGUGCAGUGGCGCAAUCUCAGCUCACUGCAGCCUCCACCUCCCAGGUUCAAGCGAUUCUCCU
rnacentral:lncRNA from 1 species